UACGUAGGGAGCAAGCGUUGUUCGGAUUUACUGGGCGUAAAGGGCGCGUAGGCGGCAGAUCAAGUCAGCUGUGAAAUCUCCGAGCUUAACUCGGAACUGUCAGCUGAUACUGUUUUGCUAGAGUGCGGAAGGGGCAAUCGGAAUUCUUGGUGUAGCGGUGAAAUGCGUAGAUAUCAAGAGGAACACCUGAGGUGAAGACGGGUUGCUGGGCCGACACUGACGCUGAUGCGCGAAAGCCAGGGGAGCGAACGGG
rnacentral:rRNA from 1 species